AUGAACGCUGGCGGCGUGCCUAAUACAUGCAAGUCGAGCGAACGGACGAGAAGCUUGCUUCUCUGAUGUUAGCGGCGGACGGGUGAGUAACACGUGGAUAACCUACCUAUAAGACUGGGAUAACUUCGGGAAACCGGAGCUAAUACCGGAUAAUAUUUUGAACCGCAUGGUUCAAAAGUGAAAGACGGUCUUGCUGUCACUUAUAGAUGGAUCCGCGCUGCAUUAGCUAGUUGGUAAGGUAACGGCUUACCAAGGCAACGAUGCAUAGCCGACCUGAGAGGGUGAUCGGCCACACUGGAACUGAGACACGGUCCAGACUCCUACGGGAGGCAGCAGUAGGGAAUCUUCCGCAAUGGGCGAAAGCCUGACGGAGCAACGCCGCGUGAGUGAUGAAGGUCUUCGGACCGUAAAACUCUGUUAUUAGGGAAGAACAUAUGUGUAAGUAACUGUGCACAUCUUGACGGUACCUAAUCAGAAAGCCACGGCUAACUACGUG
rnacentral:rRNA from 1 species